rnacentral:rRNA from 1 species
UACGAAGGGGUCUAGCGUUGCUCGGAAUCACUGGGCGUAAAGGGUGCGUAGGCGGGGCUUUAAGGCAGGGGUGAAAUCCUGGAGCUCAACUCCAGAACUGCCUUUGAUACUGAGGAUCUUGAGUUCGGGAGAGGUGAGUGGAACUGCGAGUGUAGAGGUGAAAUUCGUAGAUAUUCGCAAGAACACCAGUGGCGAAGGCGGCUCACUGGCCCGAUACUGACGCUGAGGCACGAAAGCGUGGGGAGCAAACAGG